AGAUCAAUGAUGAGUAGUCAUCUCAGGAUUCUGAAAGGUUCUUUUCAGACAUCAACCAGAGUUUU
rnacentral:snoRNA from 1 species